AACGCACAUUGCGCCUUCCGGUAUUCCGGGAGGCAUGCCUGUUUGAGCGUCAGUUUACACUCACAAGUGUUGAACUUGUUGUUGACCUGCUUUUGCUUGUUGGCACAGGUUUGGCAUUCUGUGGUAUUGAGUCGUGAGCACAUACUUUCGUAGUGGUCUGACUUGGAAUCCAUCGGCCCAAUUGCUGGCUCUCUUGAUUAGUGUGAUAGGUCAACCCCAACUCGCUAAGUAAAGAAGAAGCAUCUGUAGCAAUCAUGCCAAGCCGGUUGUUUUUGUUGUGCUGUGUGAAACACCAGCGCUGCUAAACACCAAACUUUGAAUCAUUUGACCUCAAAUCAGGUAGGGAUACCCGCUGAACUUAA
rnacentral:rRNA from 1 species